rnacentral:rRNA from 1 species
GAUGAACGCUGGCGGCGUGCCUAAUACAUGCAAGUCGAGCGAACGGACGAGAAGCUUGCUUCUCUGAUGUUAGCGGCGGACGGGUGAGUAACACGUGGAUAACCUACCUAUAAAACUGGGAUAACUUCGGGAAACCGUAGCUAAUACCGGAUAAUAUUUUGAACCGCAUGGUUCAAAAGUGAAAGACGGUCUUGCUGUCACUUAUAGAUGGAUCCGCGCUGCAUUAGCUAGUUGGUAAGGUAACGGCUUACCAAGGCAACGAUGCAUAGCCGACCUGAGAGGGUGAUCGGCCACACUGGAACUGAGACACGGUCCAGACUCCUACGGGAGGCAGCAGUAGGGAAUCUUCCGCAAUGGGCGAAAGCCUGACGGAGCAACGCCGCGUGAGUGAUGAAGGUCUUCGGAUCGUAAAACUCUGUUAUUAGGGAAGAACAUAUGUGUAAGUAACUGUGCACAUCUUGACGGUACCUAAUCAGAAAGCCACGGCUAACUACGUG